UAUGGAGGGUGCAAGCGUUAUCCGGAUUCACUGGGUUUAAAGGGUGCGUAGGCGGCUUAUUAAGUCAGUGGUGAAAUACUCUAGCUCAACUAGAGGGGUGCCAUUGAUACUGAUGAGCUUGAGUACAGAUGAGGUAGGCGGAAUUGACGGUGUAGCGAUGAAAUGCUUAGAUAUCGUCAAGAACACCUAUAGCGAAGGCAGCUUACUAGGCUGUAACUGACGCUGAGGCACGAAAGUGUGGGGAUCAAACAGG
rnacentral:rRNA from 1 species